rnacentral:lncRNA from 1 species
GGUUUUGAGGAUGUUGGAGAAGUUGUUGCUGGACAUAUCAAAGGCCCUUUUGAGAGUGGACAUGAGAUGGGGAGGGAGGCCAUUGGUGGUAUGGUAGUGAGGUGGGAGUUCAGGCAAGUCAUCAUGUGGAAGAUGGAGUUCCACAAAUUCAAUGCAAUGAGAAUAUUUUUGGGAGAGUUUAGGCUUGAUGGAGCUGAGAUUUACAGGCGUGGAACAAAUAAAGAUGUGAAAAUUUCUCUUGGUGGUCAGCUUCUUGGCUAGCUCUAGGUAGGGAGAUAUAUGGCCGUGAGCUAGCCAUGGAAGCAUAAGAAUAGUAAGUUUUCUUUGGUCAGAGUAAACCAUAUUUUGUUUUCCUUUCACUCUUUUGCUUGAGGUUGCUCGAUUAUAGGCUUAUUGGUAGUUUUUUUGUAGCUAGCUCUAUGCAUAUAUAUAUAUAUAUACACACACAUUCAUGGGAAAAGAGGCUUGGGGAUGGGAAAUCAAUUGAUUUCCUAUGUUUGGUAAAGUUCGGGUAUGAGAAAUCGUUGCUUUGCACAUGAGAAAGUAGAGGGGAAAGUGAAGCCCUCCUCCUUCCUUAGGUUUUGUUUUCCUCCUCAUGGGAAAGUUUGGGAAAAUGAGCUAAUAUUAAAUACAUAUUUUUCAUGACCAUAUUAUCCCCAUUAAUAAUUUAGAAUUACAUAAAUGCAUUCUAUUUUUAUUUGAUUUCAUAUGGGUAUAAUUGAAAAAUUAAACAAAUUUUGUUUUACAUUCCUACACAAACCAAACAUGUGAAAGGAAAUAAAGUGGUAUUUCUUGGUUACUUUCCCAAGAUUACCAAACAUAGGAAAGGAAUCUCUAUUUCCCAUCCCUUAGAAAAUGACUUGGAAAGUAAUUUCUCCUCAAAUUCGUUCCGUGAACCAAACGGAACCUGCAUAAUAGAAGUUCCAAAAAAACACGUGAUGAUUGGAUCAUGCAUAUGUAAGUUCCCGAGUGAUGAUUGGAACAAGUUCCUAAUGAUAAAGACUCGAAACAAGAAUAGUUUAAACUUUCUUCUUUGUUUGGCUUGAUAUAAGACGAAUGCACCAAACAAACCGACUAAUUGCUGGCACAAUAUAAAUUGGGGCUACAAUUACCUAAUAAUUAGGUACUAAGGGCUACAAUUACCUAAUAAUAUCAACUUUCAUUAUACAGAUUUGAGAAACAAAAAGUUCAACUUUGAUGACAAGCGAUAUUAAAGGAGGGCGUAAUCAAACUUAGGAUCUUGAGUGUAGAAAUAAAUACUUUUAACAACUUGAGCUACAAGCCUUUUGUAAUAUUAAUGAUAUUUUAAUUAUACGUUUGAAUAGUUCGCUUCCUUCUCUUUUAUUUUCAUUUGUUUAUAUUUAACUCUAAUUUUAUUUAUAUUUUUGGUCAAGGUAAAAAGACUUUGAAUCUCUCUCCAAUGAUUUUCACAGCCGAAACUCCUUUAGUUUCCACAAAUAUUUUUUAAUAUUUCAUGCAUUUGUAAGUUUCCGACUCGGAUGGUUCAUGUAACCAAGAAGUUUAAACUUGUUUUUGCUUGUUCCGCCGACGAAAGCGCAACAAAAGGACAAACUACAACCAAUACUUCUAGUAUCACCAGUUCUCAUUGAAUUUGUUGCCGUGAAUGUUUAGGAUUCUGCCCAAACUAGUAUUUGCGUUUCUGAAUUGUUUGAAAACACAUAUGAAAUUAUGAUUUCUCCUCCCCAGAAGACAAAUUGACGAAGAAGUAUCAUGAUUUUGAUGACACAAAUUAGAAUCCAGGGUUUUCGAAGUGCCUAAUGGACAACUAUUAAUUUAGAAAUAUAUAUAUUUUUUUCGCAAUGCAGAAACACAUAAAUCCCAAGUUUGAAUUCAUCCUAUUUUUGUUUUUGUUUUUUCCUUUUUUAACCCAGAAGAAAAAUUGAGUGCCACUCUGCUAUGUAGAAUGCAAGUUUUAGUUUAGAUUUUUUUUUCUUUUUAGUCUCUUAUUCUACAUUUAGAUCUCAUAUAUUUACUCGCAUUUUAUUAAAUCUAAGUCAUUCAAACAAUCUGACCACUUAACAAAUUACAAGUACUCAAACUUAAAAUCAGAUUGGAUGGACAUGAGGCUUACACUGAUGAUUCUACACGUGCUGAGAAUAGUCCUUUUAUUUCUUUAUUAUUUUCUUGGUCGGGACUCGAGAGACAGGUGUAGUGUAGCGAUGGAGACGAGGCCCGCAAGACAUAAAAGUCUGAAGAAGAGAAGCGUGAAAGCUUCAUUUAGACAGUUAAGUGCAUACGUAACGUAAAGAUUCAAAGACUAUGUCCCUCUCCAAACAGGGAAAGAUCUGAGUUGAAAGCAACAAACUACAGUCACAAUAGGAAAGCAUCUACAACGUAAAGAAAAUAAGUUUACCAGAAGCAUCGGAAAGAUCUAGAGUCUGAAGAAGAGAUACUGAAGUAAUUGUUCAUCGACUGAGCUUAAAUGAAAUAUUAACUCUUUGUUGUGCCAUAAGCACAAGAUCUUAAGAAAAAAAUUCAAGAUAAACCAUAUAAUAUUUUCUAACCCACAAAAUAAUAUAGAAAAUAAAUGCAAGAACAAGAGAAUAGCAAGACACAACGAGGCUGCUUACAAUCAGUGUAAAUGAGCAAACAAAUUCACCAUCAACAAAUUAGCAUGCUUAUGAAGUGUUUUGCAACCUCACAAACCAAGGCGCCAUAUACACCAAAUGACUCUCACUGAAAAACUAAACAAAGAAACACACUCACACUAAUGAAAGCAACGUUACAAGGUAGGAGAUUGAAUAUUACAUUUACAAUACACUCAUAAGUUACAAAAACUAAUUACAAAUAUUUAGCGCAUAGGUUACAUAGAACUGAAAGGGUGGAAUGAUAAGAGCUAUGGUGGUCAUCCACCAACUCAUGCAUUUACAACACCGCCUCUUGAAUGUCCACCAUACAAUACAAUGAUAUAGUUGCGUCAUUAAACACUUUGCUUGAAAAACUAUAUGGGACAAAACUUAGGCUACGGGAAAAAGAGUGCAACACAAAUAAUAUUGAUAUCACAUUUGUCUCUCCUACGGAAUGAGCUUUGGUGAUGUUUGUAUAAAAAUUGCGUACAAACCAUUAUUGGAAGAUUGGGCUAGAGUGGGCUUUACCCUAGUGUUGACUUUGGAAAGAGACAAAUUAGGCUUAGUUGUGUAAAUUCAAUCCAAAAAAAAAUUAAAUAAUAGCCCACAUCUACAGCCAAAUACUUUAAUACUUUAAUUACUAAAGUUUUUUUUUCUUUCUCUCUCUUCUUUGGUUUAUUCAGCUUUUGAUUUGGCUCAAAUAAUGUUUAUAUCUCUCUUUGAUUUUGUUUUUUCAAAUUUAUUGAUGUUGCUUCUUUUGAAAAUUUUGAAAUAUGGACCCUCCCUAACUAAACCACUCCAUUGAGCAAAAGCCCUUGAGCUUCAAAUUUAUCUUCGUCUGAGCCUCUGAAUUUUGGUUUUUUUUAGGUUUUUUUUGUUUGUUGUAGGUUUCUUUGUUCACAUAUCUCUCUAAAAAUAGUAUUUUUCUUAAUGAAUUCUGAAAAUAGUUUUUAAUUUGAAGGAAAUAUACGGAAUUAGUAAAAAAGUAUACCACUUUCAUUAAUCUGAAGGAAAUAUUGCUUUAUAUAUAUUUGUUUAAAAAUAGGGCUUAUAAUUGAUCUCAAAAAAAAAAAAAAAACAAAUAGCCCACCCCUGUAAAUAUUCCUUAGUCCGCCAUUGCAUGGCAUAAUAUUUGGUAUGCUAUGCUAGCAUCUCAUAAGCUCUUCAAGAGACCUGAAUUUUAUGAUAACUUCUUAAAAAAUUUGAAUACAUUUCAACGAUAUUAAACUUGAAUUUGAACUCAUAAUUCAAUCAAAGUACUCAUUGAGGCAAUUUAGAUCAUUUUCAUUUUAAAAAAAUUGGGUGCACACAUUGAGCUUCAUGCUCUUUACCUUCUUAGAGAUUUUAUUUGAGGAAUUUAUAUUGCAUCACAUAUUACAUCUCUUAGGAUUUGUUCUUAUUAUGUAUUCUUUAAGAGAUCUAUUCUUGCAAUAUGCUUCAAACACUUCAUAAUCUUUAUGAAUUUUUCAUGUAGAUUUAAGGUCUCCAUGAAUAUUGAGAUUGAAACAAGGAGUAAAAGAGUUAAAAGUUUAAGAAAUUUUUUCCCUGAUUAUUUUGUAAUUAUAAUGUUGGUGAAAAUCCAAUUUCCUUUCUAGAAUUUGUGAAAUUUGUUAUUUGGCUAAGCUAAAAGUAUAAUUUUGACAAUAAAAAGCAUAUGAAAGUUUCUCUUUGGUUGGCUUCUUGGCUAGCUCUAGGAACGGACAGUGUGGCCAUGAGAUAACCAUGGAAGUAUAAUAAGAAUGCUUGGAUGCUGUGAACAAUCCAUUUUCUGACUCUUUUUCUUGAGGUGGUUGUUUUCUUAUGGCCCAUCAGAGUUUAUGGUCGACAGAUAAGCUUCAAACACAUGCAUUGGUCGUGUCAGUUGCGAUAAACUCUUCCCAACAAUCAACAAUUUCUAAGGUAAUAUCAUCAUUCAAUCAUGUGCUGAAUUUAGAAUUGUUUUCAAAUCAAGGAUUUGUUUUGGAACUCAGAUUUUAAAACAAUUAAAAUUUAAUUGGGAAGACUUUUUGUUUAAAGGAAGUUCGUUUCAAUUCAAAAAAUAAUUUUUCAGUUUUUCAACUCAAAAGUCUUCUCAGUUUUCUUAUUUUUCUUAUUGGCGAGUUUCUUGGUUAACUCUAGGAAGGGAGAUAUGUGGCCAUGAGCUAACCAUGGAAGCAUAAGAACGCUGACCAUGCUUGGAUUUUGAGAAGACUUCCUCUUUUUUUUUUCCCUGACUCUUCUUCUUGAGGCGGUGGUUGGCUUAUGGCCUCAUAAUAGUUUGGUGUUUUUGGAGAUCAUAUGGUGAUGAUCUGAUGGAGAUGAGUCAUAGUUUGUGCUAGUGCAUACGUAAUUCCAAUUUCCUGAUUCAGAUGGGAUAAACUCUUCCAACAAAUUAAGACUCUUAUCAUGCAUACACAUAAGAAGUGGAAAUUUGCUUCUGUCUUAGUUUGGCCUUGAUAUAGGACAGCUCAUAGGAAAGCAUCCAAAACAAUAUUCUUUUUAUUUUUUUUAUUUGAAUACAAGCGAUAUUAGGAGUGUGGGGAUUUGAACACAUGAUUUAGGGUACAGGGUAAUGCUCUUAACUAUAUGAGUUACAAGUCCCUUGCAAACAGUCUGAAAUACUAAAAAUAAAAAAUAGAUGCUCAUCCAUAUGCACUGUCAUGCCCCAACCCUUGGAUUUACAAAACCUUGUGUUAAGACGUGAUUCACACCUUAAUUAUAGAAUUUAAUAAAAACUAUAACUAAAAUGUGAAGAAAACAUUUAAAUAAAUAAAAUAAAUAUUUCACAUAGAAUAUUCAGUGGAAAUGACAACAUGUGAAAUCUUAAAAAUUUUACAUUAUCUUACAAGUUGGCGUGACUUGUGGAUAUUGACUUACUUUCCUUACACACCAAGAAUUCCUAUUAUAAUUGUAAUUGAUUUACUUUAAUUCAUGAUUUCCUACUGUAAAUAGAUUUAAGAAUUUAUUAUUUACUUGCCCAUUCAGGUUUCGUUGUAUUAUAAAUAUGACCUCCUACAAGGAGAAGAACAUACAGAAAAUUCCCACAAACAAAUAUUCUCUCAUAGUUUUCAUAUUUUAGCAUGGUAUCAGAGCGGCAAUCUUGGAAUUGCUGACUCUAGUUUCAAACCCCCGCCGCCGCUAUGGGGGUUGAUGAUUUUUUCAACCAUCAUGGAGGUAGCACCAUCGACUCCUUCUCUCAUUCUCAACUAACCAUCGUUGAGUUGAGUGCCCAGAUGGCUCCGCUCCUACAGAUGCAGACUUUGACCCCAAACCCGAUCCAGAAUCAGGAUCUUCUUUCGACAACCACGACCCCGAUCUCGACUAUGACAACGACGACCCCGACCCCUACUCUGAAGAUGACCCCGACCCCCACUCCGAUGACCCCAACCCCGAAUUUGUCUCUGAUUCAGAACCCGAUCCCGAUUUCGACUCCGACUCCGGCCUCGACUCAGGCUCAGAUUUCGAUCCAAAUUCCUACUCAACUUAUAUCCUAUGCAUCUUCCGCUGCACAGAUUAUGACUUCUAGACUAACGACCCCGACAUAUGGACCAGAUUGCACAUAUUGUGGUGAUCCGAGACACACUUGUGAGACUUGUUUUAAAUCGCAUGGCUACCCCGAUUGGUGGGCUAUUCUUACAGAUCAAGGACAAUGCACCAGUAAUGGUACUGGUUAUGGAUUCCAUACUUCCGAUAAGAUUGAUUCCAGGAGCUGGAUAAUUGAUUCUGGUGCAACUGAUCAUAUGACGUUUGAUCCUGAUGAUUUUCUGAAUACUACACAACCUCGACGAACUUGUAUUGCAAAUGCCAAUGGUGUUACUUAUCCUGUGACAGGGGCUGGCACUGUUGCACUCUCAUCCUCUCUCACACUGUCUAAUACUUUACUUGUUCCAUUUUUAUCCACUAAAUUGUUGUUAGUUAGUCAGCUUACUAAACAAUUGAAGUGUUGUGUACUCAUUUACCUGAGUUUUUGUUUGCUUCAGGAUAUUCACACUAAGGAGAUUCUUGGUCGUGGUACUAAGAGAGGGGGGCUAUAUUAUGUCGAUGACUUCAGUUCCGGCGUGCCUAACAGUGUGACACAUCCCUUUGAUAGCAAACAAAAGCAAAUUUGGUUGUGGCACCUUCGAUUGGGACAUCCGUCUUUCAGUUAUAUGAAGCAUCUUAUACCAGAUUUAUUCUUAGGUUUCAAGGACUCCGACUUCACAUGUGAUACUUGUAUUUUGGCUAACAGUCACCGUGUGCCCUACCUGUUGAGUACGAACAAGUGUACUUGUAAGAUCCCACAUCAACCAACGGAGAGGGGGUGAUGUGCCUUAUAUAUGCACACCUGCAUCCAUCUAGCACGAGGCCUUUUGGGAGCUCACUGGCUUCGGAGUCGUAGGAACUCCGAAGUUAAGCGAGUUGGGGGCUAGAGCAAUCCCAGGAUGGGUGAUCCACUGGGAAGUUGCUCGUGAGCUCCUAGAAACAAAACCGUGAGGGCAGAGAGAGGGGCCCAAAGCGGACAAUAUCGUGCUACGGCGGAGUUGAUCCCGAGAUGUGACAAUUUGGUAUCAGAGCCACUCUGCCGUGUGGUGCGAAUGUGCCGACGAGGACUUCGGGCCCUUAAGGGGGGUGGAUUGUAAGAUCCCACAUCAACCAACGGAGAGGGGGUGAUGUGCCUUAUAUAUGCACACCUGCAUCCAUCUAGCAUGAGACCUUUUGGGAGCUCACUGGCUUCGGAGUUGUAGGAACUCCGACGUUAAGCGAGUUGGGGGCUAGAGCAAUCCCAGGAUGGGUGACCCACUGGGAAGUUGCUCGUGAGUUCCCAGAAACAAAACCGUGAGGGCCAGAGAGGGGGGCCCAAAGCUGAUAAUAUCGUGCUACGGCGGAGCCGAUCCCGGGAUGUGACAAUUGUACUACUCCAUUUACGUUAAUUCACUCUGAUGUCUUGGGACCUUCGCCUAUCACUGCUCCUUCUGGUGUUCGAUGGUUUGUCACAUUCAUCGAUGAUUGUAUACAGAUGACAUGGCUUUAUUUGCUGAAGAAUAAAAACGAAGUGUUUUCCCGUUUUCAGUCCUUCCACAAACAGAUGAAAACUCAGUUUAAUGCUCAAAUCCAGAUUCUUCGCUCAGACAAUGGUGGAGAAUUUGUCAAUCAUGACUUUCAGACUUACUUCCAACAACAUGGAAUUAUCCAUGAGACGACUUGUCCUCAGACACCACAACAAAAUUGUGUUGUUGAACGAAAGAAUUGACAUCUUCUUGAAACCGCCCAAGCACUUCUGAUUGGCGCUCAUGUUCCUCGCUAUCACUGGGAUGAUGCUAUUGUCACCGCAGUUCACCUGAUCAACCGCAUGCCUUCUGGUGUAUUGACCUUUAAAACUCCCUUACAGGUGCUUGCGCAACACAGACCUCUGCUCUCUGUUUUGGUACUCACACCCCGAAUCUUUGGAUGUGUGGCUUUCGUUCAUCUCCACAAAAAUCAACGUAGCAAACUUGAUCCCUGUGCGCUUCGUUGUGUUUUUAUAGGUUAUGCCACUCAUCAGAAAGGCUACCGUUGUUAUCACCCUCCUACCCAACGAACCUAUGUCACUUUGGAUGUGACCUUUCUGGAAUCUGAGUUGUUCUUCCAUGACCCAUCAUCCAAUUCUACGCAUCAGGGGGGGAUACGAAGUGAAGAGCAGAAUUGAAGCAACUUGGGAAAUAAAGAAAUUUUCCUCUGUACAGAAAUGAUUAAUCAUCCUGAGUCUGGAGCACGAGAUUACUCUCUGUCGAAAAGCAACCAAUCGCCCAUUCAUAGCGAUCAAUUGCCUCACCUACCUGAUCCAUGUGAAGAUAUUUUUGAUCCGAGUCUCACACCUACAGACAAUACAGAACAACAAGAUGAAGACUCCCCCUCUAACUCAACAGUACCAACAGACCAAUCUCCUGAGAAUAUCCUUGAGGUAACUACUCCUACUAGAUUUGUGCAUUUAAAUGAUUAAACUAUUGGAUAUCAAUUACCUUUCAGGGAAAAUCGUGGGAAGCCAUCAAACCGUUAUGCACCUGAUAUUGGCAAGACAUCCAAGUAUCCAAUUGCAAAUCAUGUAUCCACUGAGAAGCUGUCUGAACAACUCAAGGCUUUUGUGCAUCAGUUGUCUGCGAUCCAUAUUCCAACCAAGGUCUCUGAAGCAUUAAAAUAUCCUAAGUGGGUCCAAGCUAUAAAAGAGGAGAUGAAAGCUCUUGAGAAAAAUCAGACUUGGACAUUAGAGACUAUACCUCGAGGAAAAAAGACUAUCAGAUGUAGAUGGGUGUUUACUAUAAAACACAAUGUAGAUGGAUCUAUCGAGCAAUACAAGGCAAGACUUGUGGAAAAAGGGUACACACAGACAUAUGGUAUAGACUAUGAAGAAACCUUUGCUCCAGUUGCAAAGUCAAACACCAUCAGAGUCUUAUUGUCCCUUGCAGCUAAUUUGGAUUGGCCACUACACCAGUUUGAUGUAAAGAAUGCUUUUCUACAUGGCGUACUCACGGAGGAGGUGUACAUUUACAUUCCUCCUGGAUAUAAUACUACUUAGACUGGAACAGUUUGCAGGUUACGAAAAGCAUUGUAUGGAUUGAAACAGUCACCACGUGCAUGGUUUGGACAGUUCACCAUGGCAAUGAAGAACAAUGGUUCAAACAGUGCAACUCAGAUCAUACUCUACUCUUGAAACAUCGAAAAGGGAAGGUAACAACAUUAAUAAUCUAUGUUGAUGAUAUGAUUAUUACUGGGAAUGAUAAACAGGAAAUAUCACAGCUACAAGACUAUCUGGCUACGGAGUUUGAGAUGAUGGAUCUAGGUGGACUCAAGUAUUUCUUGGGAAUUGAGGUGGCUCGAUCCCAGCAAGGCAUAUUUCUCUCUCAAAGGAAAUAUGUCUUGGACUUGUUGACAGACACAUGAAUGCUAGAUUGUAAACCUGCGAACACUCAUAUUGUUCAGAAUCAUCAUCUUGGAGAAUAUCAUGAUCAAGUUCCAACUAACAAAGAAAGAUACCAAAGGUUAGUAGGAAGAUUGAUCUAUUUGUCACAUACUUGACCAAACAUUACUUAUGCAAUGAGCGUUGUCAGUCAAUUUAUGCACUCUCCAAGUGAAGACCACACGAAUGCAGUUCUUCGGAUACUUAGAUAUUUGAAGUCUGCACCUGAAAAAGGACUUAUUUUCUGAAAGCAUGGUCAUAUAAAUAUUGAUGGUUAUUCAGAUGUAAUGUAACAGAUAGAAAAUCCACAUCCGGUUACUUAACAUUCAUGGGAGGUAAUUUGGUGACAUGGAGGAGCAAGAAACAGAAUGUAGUAGCUUUAUCCAGUGCAGAAGCCGAGUUCAGAGGCAUGACUAAAGGAAUUUGUGAACUUCUUUGGUUAAGAAAGUUGCUUACUGAACUUGGGUAUAAACCUACAUCCACAAUGAUUCUCUUUUGUGACAACAAGGCUGUUAUAGCCAUUGCACAGAAUCCGGUUCAGCAUGAUCGUACUAAACAUGUUGAGGAGGAUCGACACUUCAUCAAACAGAAGCUUGAGGCUAAAAUGUUUCAGUUUUCUUUUGUGAAAUCCGAGGAUCAAUUGGCGGAUAUUUUGACAAAGGUGAUUUCCAGUAAAACAUUCCACAAUUCACUGGAUCAGUUAGGCAUUGGCGAUAUCUAUGCACCAACGUGAGGGGAAGUGUUGGCGUGACUUGUGGAUAUUGACUUACUUUCCUUACACACCAAGAAUUCCUAUUAUAAUUGUAAUUGAUUUACUUUAAUUCCUGAUUUCCUAUUGUAAAUAGAUUUAGGAAUUUAUUAUUUACUUGCCCAUUCAGGUUUCGUUGUAUUAUAAAUAUGACCUCCUACAAGGAGAAUAACAUACAGAAAAUUCCCACAAACAAAUAUUCUCUUAUAGUUUUCAUAUUUUAGCAAGAACUACUCGAGAGUUUACUAAAAGAGUAGUUCAGUAUUCAUCCACAAGCUAUAUACACAAUACACUCUAUAGAUAUGCCAAAAUCAUCGCAAGCUCUAGAUUUUAGGUUCGAUACCUGCAAAAUCUAUUAGAAGGGUGAGUGAAACCACAGUUUAGUAGGGACAUAAACCUUUUCACGGUAAACUGAUAUAAUUAAAUUAAGUGAAAAAUAAUCACACAGCCAAAUAUCACAUUAUUAAUAACAAUGCAUGAAUGCUCUUCAUUUAACCCGUUAAUUCAUAUAAUUAGACAAGCUUCACGACCCAUACCAUGCUUAUACCACUUAGUCCCGAAUGCCAAUUUAUAUGAAUUAACGCCCAUUUCAAUCAUCCCAUAAUUCCCAUUUUGUUAGUCAUCUUGUCUAACUCCCUGUUGCCAGUCCUGAAUCACCAAAAAAAAAAAACCAUGUGCACUAUGGGAUCCCUGAGUACUAGUACCUGGCAAGAGUUAGACUCAACUACACAAAAGAUCAUUUCUAUUACCCUCUUAUCCACCAUUAUUUUCUCAACUUCAGAAUUCUAGCCAAAUUCCAUGACAUGAUAUAAUUAAAAUUAUGCCUUCACAACAAUGUGCCCAUUUAAAACAUCACUAAUGCACAUAUAAUUAUGCCCACAUUGUUCAAAUAGUUAAGAGUACGUAAAUACCCAAUACAUGGAACGUCAAUCAAACAGUACCACGCAUAAUAUAAUGCUCAAGAAAUUUAAUUAAAUCAAUCUCUGUAAAAGGCCCCUAAGAAACCCCUGCCUUGAUACUAAAGCUUUUGCUAGACCUAUAAGGUGUUUUCCAAUUUUCCACCGCAUUCACAAACUCUGUCUUCUACUUUUUUUCUUACUUCUCUCUACCACUAUUUCUUUCUCGUUUUCUUUGUUUUCACUUGUUGUGCAACUUAAUGUCCUAUAUAUAUACAAGGAACAAGUCGGCAGUAAGUGAUUUCCUAUUGGAUGGUGUAUUCGGUUGUUAUAAACUUACUAGUAAUAGUUAUCAAUGUAGUUGCAGAUGAGGAAGAAUGUUUUUGUGACUCUUCCAAUCCCUCUAAUCCUAUUUCUUAUCUUCUUGGUGAGUUGAUAGCCUCGAUACUUAACAGAUUUUAUACUUUGACACGUAUUAACAAGAACUAUUUUAAAAACAUAUACAUAUAUAUAUAUAUAAUAGAAUAUGUAUAUAUGUAAUACACAUAUUUAUAUAUAAUAAGAAUAAUAUAUAUGUAAUAAGAUAUAAAUAUUUAUUAGAACAGUAUAUAAAAUAAUAUAUAUCAUUCUUAUUAUAACAAUAAUUUUAAUUUUCCCAAAAUAAUAUAUAUUUAAAAAUAUGUGGUUUCACAUGCAUGUCCUUUUUGCUAUAGACACUAUUACAAAAAUCGAAAUAGACAACGGAAAACUACCGUCGUCUGGAAAGUUUUCAAACAGUCGUGAAAUCGACUGUCGUCUCUUUUACAUAAAACAACGACGGCUAUUAACCAACGUCGUUAAUACAUUCCACGUAAAAAACUAUUAUAAACCGACGUGUAAUUACUAUAUAUAUAGCCUAAAAUAAAAUCUUCAACAACCUUAGACGACGGUUUUAUUAAAACUGACACGUCUAAAGAGUGUUACAUGUCAAGAUCAAAACAAGAACCGACGUACAGAUAAUUAUCCACGUCCUAAUUGAAGUAAAAUAGACUUGGAUAACCUAGAAACCGUCGUGGUUAACAUAUACUACGUUAAAUUAACAAAGGCACUUACGUCUAAAAAGUAAAAGACAACACGCGCACAAAGCAACAGACGUUUAAAGCUUAGUACAUGUCAAUAGCCGCUCAAUAACCGCAGUAAAAUGAAUUAACCACGUCCCACAUAUGGCAGAACUGUUGCUUAUGUGAUUAUCCACGUCGCGGAGUAGUAGAACAAAGACGUUGUAACCAUAUUCCACGUCUGUUUCUUGUGAGAAUUGUCGUUUAAAUUAUACAAAGAAGCCCCUUUGACAGAGUUAGACGUUGCUCUUGCUGUAGAACCGACUUCUAACAGGUUUAAAAUGACACAAUAUUACUUAAUACUGCCGUAACAAAUCAUAUCCACGACUGCUGUUGUCAAAGACUGACGUUACAAAAAAUAUUGAAGGUGUUGACAAAAAAGAACCGACAUGGAUUAUGCAUUCAACGUCGUGUGGUCUAAAAAUAAAGGACGUGGUUAAUUUUUUCUCUACGUCAAGUGGAUCCAAUUGCCUGAUGUUGUAAUUCUUUACCAUGUUGGUUUUUAAUACAUGAUGAUGUGGUUGUCCUUUUAAAAGUCGCUUGUUUUACCCUCCUUGACGUGUGUAUGAUAUGAGACGUCAAUUGUUUUAGACUAGCUGACGUGCAGAAAAUCUGUCACGACAAUUAAUGCAACUGAAUUGCCUCUAUUUCCCCCAGACGACGGUAGGUUUUAAGUGUGGAAGUAGUGUUUUACAAAAUCGUAAGUUGGAGUAAUCUACCAUCGUGUUAUUCGAGAAUAUACCACGAUCUUUGUUUUGUACUCGGUCGCUGAUGUUUAUACUACUUAAUAAACUGACAUGUUUUCAGUUUCAGACGGCGGCUUUUGUUUCUUUAUGGUCUUUUGCAUUUUUUUUCCAUGACAUUUUUGAAAGCCUAAUGUUGGUUUUAUUUUAGAAAUCGAUUUUUCCCCUUUUUUUACUGGACCGUCGUACUUUACACAUUUAAUCAAUUUUUUUCAAUUUUUGAUUCAUCGUGCCCAAAGCCUACAUAACGAAAAUGUGAUCAGAAUUAAAAUGAUGUACAAAGGUAUUAAUUAAUGUCAUACAAUUAACUGAAUAACUAAUGUCAUACACUACAACAAUCAAUCAAUCCAUAUAUCUUCACACCCAUCUUUAAUAUUUUCACUCCCAAACUCACCCACUAGGUCAUCAUAUGUGUCAACAUUUGGUAUCCCUCUAGUAAAUGUCUCACACUCAAUUCUAAUAUCACCUAGCACAUCAUCACCAAUAACAUUAUUAUAUUCUCUAUUAUGCAUUGAUAACACUACCGACCAACCACGAUGCAUUGGGUCGUCAGCAUAAAAUACUUGUUUUGGUCAUUCCUAUGUCCAAUUUUACUCAAAUCUACAAAGGUGAAUCCAAGUUCAUCGACAACAAGGCCCAAAGUGUUAUCUAUCCAAUCACACCUCAAGACAAGGAUUCUAAACUUUUGGUAGUCAAGGUCCCAAAUUUCUUGAAUAACACCAUAAAAACCCAUAUUGGAGACAAUAGAGUUUUUAUCCUUAGCACUAGCAACUUGCAUAGUAUGUGCAAGUAAAUAAACUCCACUAUUUUGGACAGUUCGCAUAUCAUCUUGUGCCUUGGUGUUAAAUUUAACACCAUUAAUAAGAUAGCUCCUAUAUGAUGGCAUUGCCAUGCUUGGACUAGCUGCUAGCCACCUCAAAUUUUAUGAUACGCCAUUAUGCUCUUCCCCAUUAAGUUCACUUUGAACUUGCAAAUUAAUCGUAUAUAUCCUAAUUCGAUCUAACAUAUAAAAAGGAAGAAAAUUAAAAGUUGAAUAUGUCAUUCAAUAACAUAUAUACUUGAAAGUGUAGCCAUUGAAUGAAAGUGCUAUUGUGCUUAUCUUGCAGCCACUUUGUUCUCUUUCUAAAUAUUGGAUAAGUGGUCUUGAUGUGGAUCAUAUGUUCCAUACAUUGACACGAAAAAAUCAAGCAUUACGGUCCCUUGUAUAUAAGAUAACAUAAGGAAUAAUAAUAUUUAAAAUGGCUCUAUAUGAAAAAUGGAACUCAUGCGUACUCGAUAUAAGGUAGGACUUCCUCAGUAUUCUCCAAGACAUAUAGAUGUGUCUGGUUCAAAAAACCCGAUCACCUAAGCUUACUGUGCAACCAGAUAAUGGCUUUGAAACUCCCAUCUUCUAGCUUGAAGGCACUCCAACUGUACUAACAUCAGAUAAAUGCUCGGUGCAAAACUCUACAACUUCUUCAGCUAUAUACCGCUCAAUAAUGCAACAUCCGGGACGAGUACGGUUCUGAACAAACCUAUUUAGCACUUUCAUAUGUCUUUCAAAUGGAUACAUCCAUCUAAAAUAUACUGGCCCAUGUAGACGAACUUCUCUGACAAGAUGUACUACUAGAUGAACCAUGAUAUCAAAGAAUGAAGGGGGAAAGUACUUCUCAAGCAAACGCAACGUAACUACUACAUCUUCUUCCAAAUUAUCUAGCUUGGAAACAUCUACUGUCUUUGCACAUAUAGCAUUGAAGAAGAAGCACAAUCGAGUUAUUGCAUACCUUGCAGGCUUCUCCAAACAGAACGAAUUGCCACAGGGAGCAAUUGUUGCAUCAAGGCAUGAAAAUUAUGAGAUUUAAGGCCAAGAAGUCUUGAAUAUUUUUAAGAUACAAGAUUUUUUUAUAUUUGAACAAUAACCUUCAGGGACUUUCAUACCAUAGAAAGAAUUGCAAACCGCUCUCUUAUCUGCUCUUGACAAAUUCUAGGGCCUUGGAGGCAAGCGAGUACGUCUUUCUCAAUACUCGGGUUGCAAAUCAUUUUUGACCCCCAUGUUCAAUAAAUCUAACCGAACAGCAAUCUCAUCUUUAUUUUUUCUAGGGAUCUCCAGCAAUGUACCAAUGAUACUAUCGCAAACAUUCUUCUCAAUAUGCAUAACAUCUUGGACAUGCCUCAUAGGAAGGUAUUUCAAAUACUCGAGAUCAAAGAAUUUUGAUUUCUUAUUCCAACAAACUCUGUCACCAUCAUUCUCAAAAACACUUCCCCCAUUUUUCGAGCCCCAUAUGUAAUUAAUAUCUUCAACCAUGUCCUAUUCAAGUUAAUGGUUCGGGAGGCGUGCCAUAUUCAAGUUUUCCAUUGAAAGCUGCACGCUACCUCCGACAUGGAUGAUUGAUUGGUAACCAUUUUUUAUGACCAAUGUAACAAAUUUUGGGGCCAUUUUCAACCUGUGACUAGGUGUAUCAUCGCCGCAUAUUGGACAAGCUUUAUAUCCUUUAACGACACUGUAACACCCCGACUCUAAAUUAAUCCCUUAUUUAAUUAUUUAAAGAAAAUUACAAAUUUACCCUUAAGAUAGGGGUAUUUUGGUCAUUUUCUUACCCGAAGAGAGUUUGGGGCAGUGACUAGUAUUUUUGGAUAGGUCGUACUGAGACGAGUUCAUAGACACGUAGUGGGCUCGAAUCGAAGUUGUAACGAGAGAGAUAUGGUCAAAAGAAACCCAAUUGCACAAUCAUAAUUAUUUCGAAAUGAGAUUUUUAUAAAAAUCAGAUUUUUUUUUCUCUCUCUCUCUCUCUCCUCGUCGGUCUCUCUCCCUCUCCUCGAAACUCCGGCCAUCGGCCACGGCUGUGGACGGGGCCGGUACCAAAAUGACCGAGGCGUUGUCCUCCUCUAAUCCCAGCUAGGUCCCGCCGUCAGCCGCCAUGGUUUCGCCGGAAAAUGGAGAAGAAGCGGCCGGCGUCGUCCGAAGUUCUCCGCCGUUGAUCUCCCUCUUCCGGUCACCGAUUCCGACGAGUGAGGUAUGGUUUCUCACCUACUUUUCAUGCUCUAGCUGCCUGCUGGGUAUGAUUGGAUUGAUUUUUAGCGUAGGCAAUUCGAUUUUCGCAUUGAAAUUCGGCUAAUUUUGGAAUCACGAUUCCGGCUAGUUCUGGUCAGUUUUUGGGGUAGAUCCAAGAACAAAAGUGGCUCCAAAUAGGGUGUUAUACCUAGGGUAGGAGUUUGGAGCCAUGGUUUUGAGAUUUUCCGGCGAUACGUAAUCGCUUUAGACACCCAACGCUGCCCGCACGUGUGGCAGUGCGUGGGCGAGGGUAGUGAAAUAGCACUAUGUCUCGAUGAGAUCCUUAGGUUGUCACGAGUGCGUAGGAUUUCGCGGAUCUCAAUUCGGACGUCGUUUGACUAUCGAACGGAUUUUCGUAUAUUGCGCGUCAUCCGGGUUCGAUAGGUUGGGACCGUUGGAUGGUCUCGAAUAAAAUAUAUGUUAAUCUAGGUAUUUCUAGGAUCAUGUAGGAAUUCACGGAUUAUAAAUCGGAGCCCCGGAUAUUCCGAAUAAAUAAUUUAAAGUUUAUGUUUUAUAAUAACCGUCACAUCGUGCGAUCGUGAGCGAUCCGACCGGCCGAUCUGGACCAAACUUACAGAACGAGUGUCCUAUACCUUGAAGAACCCAUAGGAAUUUUCAGAUCGAAAUUUGGAGGUCGUGGGCCCCGUGGGCCCAUUUGACUAGGGGUAGGGUAGUUUGACCCUUAGUUGACCGUGAGUCUCCCGGAGUAAUCUCACCUUUCCAGGGGGAUUAUCGGGUGCUAGACUGUUGUUGAGGUUUACACGAUAUUAGUAGUAAAUUAUAUAUUUAUAUACAUUUGUAAAGGUAAAAAAUAAGUCCAGAAUGUCAGUUUGAAGUGCUUUACGCACUACCUUAGGUACCUCCCCGGAUUUUAGUUACACUACAAGUACCACCCUAUGAAAGUUAGGUCCCACGUGGCGUAGGUUAUCCGGCGUGCGGACAGGCCCUAUACGUGGCAUUGGUAGUAUCGGUGUAUGGGGAGAUUACGUGAUAAUAUGUUGAGGUCACACGUGGCGUAGGUUAUCCGGCGUGUUGACAGACCCCAUACGUGGCGUUGGUUGUACCGGCGUAUGAGGAGAUAUUGUGAUAUGAUAUUCAGGUCUCGCGUGGCGUAGGUUAUCCAGCGUUGAGACAGACCCCAUACGUGGCGUUGGUUCUACCGGCGUAUAAGGAGUUUAUGUGAUAUUAUGUUGAAGUCGCGCGUGGCGUAGGUUAUCCGGUGUGUCGACAGACCCCAUACGUGGUGUUGGUUGUACCGGCGUAUGGGGAGAUAUGUGAUAUGAUGUGCAGGUCUCGCGUGGCGUAGGUUAUCCGGCGUUGAGACAGACCCCAUAUGUGGCGUUAGUUGUACCGGCGUAUGGGAAGAUAUUGUGAUAUGAUAUUCAGGUCUCGGGUGGCGUAGGUUAUCCGGCGUGUUGACAGGCCCCAUACGUGGCGUUGGUAGUACCGGUAUAUGGGGAGAUUAUGUGAAAUACAGAGAAAUGAAAUAAGGUAUUGCCUAUGUGUGGAAUUGGGUUUUAAGGAAGAACUACGUGUGGCUUGAUCCCUCAGGGAGGGUACGUAGGCAGCCUAAGGUUAUUAGGUGUAGCCGCGGACAUAGACGUGAUUGUGUUAGGAGGUUAAAACCUCGUAUGUUGAAAUUGAGAAAAUUAGAUGAUGUAUGUUGAAAUUUAGUAGUCGUAAUUUAUAUUUAAAUUUAUCGUUUGCCUUGUUUAAGGCAUGAAUUGAUUUGCUAGCAUGCUUGGUAGUUGAGAAUUAUAGAAAGGCCGAAGGCCGUUUAUGUGAAUUGCAUGGAAUUAUAUUGUGCAUGCUGCCAGUUGUAGUUAUUAAAUGUGUUUUUAUGCAGGUUGAAAUUUUGGGAAAUGUCCAAUUUACAGGGGAGACUCUGCCGAAAUUUCGGCAGAAAGUCUCGGUCUUUAGUAAGUGGGCCUGACAUCGAGGUGAUGUCGGGGAAUCCACAGGAUCCGCCUCGAUUUUUGGAAAAAUCGGGGCGGUUCCUUUCAGACACAACCAGAUAAGUUCUCAUAGGCAGAAAAAUCAUUAAUUGUUCACAGUAAUACACCUAUGAGUGUAAAGUAAUCUCCUAUGUGUGCAUCAUACACUCCUUUAAUCCCAUCCCACAAAGAUUUUAAAUCAUCAAUCAGAGGCUCUAAGUAGACAUCUAUAUCAUUUCCAUUCUAUUUAGGACCAGAAAUCAAUAAGGUCAAUAUCAUGAACUUCCAUUUCAUGCAUAGCCAUGGUGGGAGAUUAUAUGUAACUAAGAUAACCAACAAUUGUAUCUGCUACUUAAAGAACUGUGGGGAUUGAAUCCAUCAGAUGAGAGAGCCAAUCUCAAGUUUCUUGGCUCUUUACUGAACUCGGGCCAUUUAUCAUCAACAAGUUUUUAAGACGGGAAAUUCGCUGGAUGAGACAUAUGACCGUCAAUUGCUUUUCUAGCAACAUGCCAAGUCAAACUCUUAGCUGUCAUAUGUGAUUGAAACAUCCUUUUAAACCUUGGAAUUGGAGGAAAAUACCACACCACCUUCGCUGGCACACUCUUUUUCAAGAUUGAAUCUUUGCAUUCCUUCCACCUUGAGAUACCACAAGUAGGACAAUUAGUUGAAUCUUCAUAAUCAUUCCUAUACAAGAUGCAGUCAUUGGGACAUGCAUGGAUAUUCUCAUAACUCAUCCCUAAAGGAGAUAAUGUCUUUUUUGCCUCGUACAUAGAGGAAUAUAGUGUCUUUCCUUCUGGAAGCAAAUCUCCUUGAAGUAUCAAUAAUUCUAUAAAACAAACAUCACUCAUCCCAUGUUUUGCUUUCAAAUUAUAUAACUUCACCAAAGCCGACAACAUCGUGUACUUACUGCAACCAGGGUACAAGGAUUGAUCUCAAUCCCCAAUCACAUUGGCAAACUCAUAAGGAUCAAAUCCAAUAUCGCCUAAAUCAUUAUCAUCCAUCCCUACUUCUUUAGAAACAAAACUGAACCUACUUUGCUCAUCUUCUUCCACAUUUCUACUAGCAUUAGUAGUCAAUUCCCAAGGUUCUCCGUGCCAUGUGCAAAUCUGAUAGCUUUAGUCAAUUCCAUUAAAGUAUAAGUGGUCCCUCAUAAUUCCAACCCCAAACAAUCGAAUAUUCCCACAUUUAACACAUGGACAACGAAUAUGAGUUGUAUUUCCAAGAUUUUCUACAGCAAAAUUCAAAAAUCCUUCCACCCCUAACUCAUAUGCCUUCGGUCUUCUAUCCGCAUGCAUCCAUGACUUAUCCAUCUCACACACUAUAAAAUCAUAUAUAUAAUAAAGUGAAAAGACCAGCAAUGAAACACUACUUUAUUCACAUAGCAAAGAAUGAAUUGAAAAAAAAAAUUAACCAAGAAUCAGACGACGGUUUUUACAAAAAAAAUCGUCCUGUAACAGAGGGUCAGACGACGGCAUAUCUAGUUAUCGACGUCUUUAAGCUACCCAAACCCAGAUAUUUGUAUUGCUUUUUGAAGAACCGGGUUCUGGGUUCUGGUAAACAAAAGAUGACGGUAAAUGGAGAAACACCGACGUAUCCUAAAACUUGAGACGACGGUUUAUUUCACCAACCGUCGUCGUAGUUUACGAAAAACAGAAGUCUAAAUCUCCCAUCCUCAUUCCUUUUCUAAGAACCCUUAACAAAAUGCAAACAUCAAAAUAUAAAAGAGCCAUAUAUAGCUCCCAAUUAAGAAACCAAAGCUACCAAAACAUAUAUUAAUAAACCAAAGCUACCAAAAUGAACGAAAACAUUUAUGGGUUUUACAAACUAAGAGAAUAUUGAGAGAGAGCUGAGAGAAUAUACUUACAUGGAUAUUGAGAGAGAGCUGAGAGAAUAUAACAAAUGCUUGAGAGAGAGCUUAGAGAAUAUACACAAUGCUUUGAGAGAGAGCGAAAAAUUUAAGACAAAUUUAUGUUGAAGAGAGAGAAGGAAAUAUUUUAGGGUUAAAGGGAAAUUCUGAAAAUUUUAGAUCACCGUCAAAAUUUUCAAAGGACCGCGUUUUUCAAAGACGGCUAAGGAAAACUACCGCCAUUGUAAAUCAUUUUACUACGACGGUUGAGGAAAACUACCGCCAUUGUAAAUCAUUUUUAUGUCGCCUCUAUAAAAACCGACGUCUAAAAUAUUAAAUAAUUAGAUUUGGUUUGCAUUUCGUGGGAUUCUAACGUGCGUAAUUGACCAAAAAGAGCGAGAGAAAACCAGCGUCGUUUCUAUAAAACCUAAACCCUAAACCCUAAACCCUAAACUCUAAAACCUAAACACUGAAAAAAUUAACCAAAAAUUGCUAUGGACUCCUUACAACAAUGCCUUCUAUAUUAGUAGGCUAAAAUCGGGAUUAAAUAAUUUUGAAUUUUAUGACCACCAAUGGAUCACAUAAACCUUAGGGUUAUGUUUAUGGAAAGUAUAAGGAUUAUUGUGUUUUGUCUCUAAAUCUUUUUUACUUUUGUUAUCACUUGUAACUUUGAAAUCUAAAAUUAAAAUUUUCAGGCCUUUAGGGGGGAGAUAUUGUCUCAAUGUGUUUAUAGAAUUUGAGACUGCGAAGGUUCUAGCUGAUUGACUAAGGAUGAGGCAGGAUGGAUGGAAGGUUUGCUUGGAGAUUCUACCUUUGUCAGCUCUUCUGGUUGACAUGUUGUUUAUUCUGCCUGAGGAACUACUUCUAGAUUUUUCCCUUUUCUAGCAGAACUAGUCUCUGGAAGUACUUGUGUGUCAUCCUUAUUCUUGAGGAAGACGCAGUAUUGCCUUUGAACUCUCCUCUUUUGCAUUCUGGUUAGCUUCAGAGUUGGUCUUCGGCUUUUUCCAAUAGAAUAUCAUCUACCUUCUAUGAUAGUUGCAAAGGGCUUGUCAUUUCCAGGCAUCUUAACUGGUAUUUCCUUCUUUGGCUGCUCUAUUAUUCUCUUGUUGCGUUGGGCAGGCCUUAAAUAGUCCUUCUGUCUGGCUCUAUCUCUAGGUGGAGCCGGAACUAGGCCUUGUUGGUAUGAUGUUCCAAUCCUGUCAAAAACACAAGGUGUGGGCUGACUUUGCCUAACCAGAGUUACCUCUAACUCACUUUCACAUUUGCACCUGUUGCACAAAACUACCCCAGCCGAAAUGGUUGCUUUUGGUCUUCAAUUAGCCUAUCUUUGGACUCUUCUGCCUAUGCUGGGGCUAACUUUUGCUGUUAGUUUGCCUUUCUUUUGUUUUGGCCAAUUUAAGUUGACCAUGUUGACUUGAGGUUGGGGAAAAGGGUCUGUUGUUAUCGAAUGAGGUUUCUCAGCCAGUUUUAGCCUCCAUGCUGUUAUUCCUUCCUGUAUGACGUCCCUGAAAACAACACAACUAUUGGUGGAAUGGUCCCAGGAGUUAUGCCAUCUGCAAUACUGUCUGCCCUUGAGUUCCUCUAGCUUGGGCAACUUGUAGGGUGUUUCUAUUGCCUUCUGUCGCAGCAUGUCAUCAAACAGGGCAUCAACCUUGGUUAAAUCGAGGGAAUAGACUUUGUUAUGAGCUGGUUUGUUUGGAACAAACCCUCUUGUGAAUGGUGGUGGCUUUUGGUCCUUUGGUGGCUUUGUUAAAGCCUUGCAACUGAUGAGAUGUUUUAAUUUCCCCAUUUCUGCCACUGCAACUUCUCUCUCCUCCGAGCUUUCUAUGCCUUCUUCUGAUUCUACCUCAACAAGAUUUACUGAAGAGGAUGGGGUUUUGUAAUAUGUGCCUUUGAAAGAGUUCCUCUUCUAUUGUUCUUCCCUGAGCAGCUCCUUGUAUUUAGAUGCUUUGUCUGCUAGUUCUGCCAGAUCUCCAAACAGCAUCCCAUCAAAUUUUUUUCUCAGAGAGAUUUUAAGGGAGAUUUGAGCCAUUUGGAUGAAGUGCCCUUCCUCCAUAGGGAUUCAAAAUUUCAUUUUGAGCUUUUUGAACCUGGUUAUGAAGUCUUGGGCAGGCUCAUCUUCCCUCUAUUUCCAGGUUUGAGGGCAGCAAGAUCACUGAUGGUGACUUCUGGCUGAAUCCUAAAAUAGUAGUCAUGGAAGACAUUUUCCAUCUAUUUCCAGGUUUGAACAGAAUUGGCUGGUAAGCUAGUAUAUUAGAUGAAGGCUUGUCCAGAGAGAGAAUUUCGAAAAAGCCUUAGUUUUAACAGAAGGUUAUUUUCUAUGGCUAUGCACUGGAAAGAGAAUCUGCCUAUAUGCUUAACUGAUGAAGCAUGGGUGUCUUCUCCGUUGAACAAGGUGAAGUGUGGUACCUUAAAGCCCAGGGAUAGAGGUAUUUGAUCGAUAUAAGCUGGAUAAGGCUUUCUGUAGGUGGGCCUUUCUCCUCUUCUGGCCUCAGGUUCCAUCAUCUCUCUGAUCAUUCUAUAAAGUGCCCCCAUGUCAUUCAAAGCAUUGACAUGAUGCGGGGUUCGCCCCUGUUCUGGCUAGUUGUGUUCAAUCCUUUGUUCUACUUUAUAUGGCCUGGGCAGAACUUCCUCCCUAUGCUCUUCCUCUUUUUCGAAAUCUGGAUGAUUCCUUUAGUUUGCCCCCGGUCUGUUUUUGUCAUUGUUGGCAAAGGGUUUAACUCCUACUCUACCUCUCAUGCCACUUGCUAGUGGAGGGAAUGGAUUGGGGUCCAUCCUUCUAGGUCUGUAGGGCAACACAACUGGUUGCUCAGGCAGAAGUGCCAAGGCCUGAUCACGUGGGGCCACUAGUUGUGGAAUAGGUGGAGGUUCUGGCUAGUUCUGAGGGGGUCUGAACUGGUGCAGAGCCUUCUGGAUGAACUGAAUCCUCAUGUUCUUGGAUGGGAAGGGCUCCUCCCCUCUGUCCAGCUUGGAUUUCUCCAUGUCCUGGUAUUCCAGCUAUCUGUGUGAUGAGAGGCUUCUCUUCAUAUGGCCAUGCCAGUCCUGGUAGAGGUCCAAAAGGGAGAUCUAGCUGCUGGACCACCAUGUCUAGGUUUGGAAUUUUGGCAAUAGUAGCCUCACGGUCCUUCCUGAACUGCCUGUUGACUUGCCAUUACAUCAUGGUUGUCAUGUUGUUUAGAGUAUCUUGGCUCAUUUGUGCUGUGGCUUCUUGCCGAAACACAGCCUCCUGUAUCUAGUUUAACCUUCUGGAACCAGACAUGGAACGUCUACUCGUGGUACUGCCAUGGGCUGAUUACCUAGCAUCACUUUCUUUUGACUCAAGUCCUUUUCGGAGAGCUGCUUGAUCUCUUUUCAUGGCAUAGCGUGGAUUCUGGCUAGAACUUCCAAUAUUCAUAUACUAGAGGAUUUUUCUAGAAAUAUAUGUAUUGAGAAGUCCCACUGGGCGUGCCAAAUUGUUCAUCCGUUUUAGAUUUGUUCCUGUGAUGGUAGGGUAAAGUUCCUCAUUGACUUGAAAACCAUUGGUGGUCAAUAAGUCAACUUUCUUUUGUGUACAAAUGUGCCACUGCUAGCAAUAAAAACCCUAGCAGACUUCUUAAAAAUAGAAAACUUGUGCCCAAGUUAUUAACUUCUAAAUAAGCGAUUGUGAAUUUGGGCGAGGAAUAUCUCCCAAGUAAGUUCUUUUCUUUGCCUCAGAUUGGUGAGGACUUCACAAUUUUUCACAGUACAAAACUGGUAGUUCUAGCUAGAAUAAAUGAUAAGAAAGUGAACUGUUUUCAGGCAGAACUACCUUUUACAAAGCUUAAAAAGGAAGACCAACUCUAAAAAGACAAAAAGAGCUUUUGGACUUCAAUUUCUGCUUGGAUAAAUGCUUCUGAUCCGGGCUGGACUGGGUAUGUUUGUGCUGGACUGGACUAUCAACACCUUCAACUGUCAAGUUUUAGCUGUCAAUGAAUACCAAUGUUCGAGUGUGGCAAAGCUUCAAUCUAUUUCAAGCCGUGCAAGGCUUUUUGAACGGACAGAAUUGGAACCUCUUCAGUCUGGAAGGGGUAGAAGUGGCUGAAUUUGGUGAUUACUGAGCUGGAACUGCACUGUAGUACCUGUUCUGCUUGAUCAGGGCUCUCCAUAAAUUUGUUGAGGUUUUAAUAUUGGUAAAACCCGAAGCUUAUGUUGAACCAACUUUGUAACGAGAGAAAUCUUGCUUUGAAUGACUAUUUCUCUGAAACUAAACAGAAGUUAGAGAUUCUGGAAUAUAGCUGACUUGUUUCUUAUGGCUCAAUGAGCUUUUGGUUGCUUCAGUGUUUUGAAGGCUUUUGAGAUCAAGUGAUCAUUUUGAGUUUUUAUUUUUGAUUGAUUUUUUGGCUGUCCUUUUAUCUGUUCACCUCAUCUCAUAUUUAUAGAAUAUACUGGAGUGUGAUUUCUAAUCUUUUAAUAAUGGGCGGCAAAUCUUUUAAAAGAUCUUUUUUUCUUUUUUCAAUGUCAUAAGAGAAGGAAGCUACUAUUCUGACAGAGAAAGGUUGUCAACAAUCAUCUUUCAAUUUUUCUAUGUUCACUUUUUGUUCUUUGUAAAGAGAAAGAACACAAUCUACCAUGAUGGUCAGUGUGCUUUUCCUGUUGAACAACUCCCUCGUUCUCUACUUAUCUCUUGAAAACGUAGUCUGCUUAUCUCUUGGAAAGACCACCUGAUUUGGUGCAGAGCUUCUCUAUAUAUAUAUAUAUAUAAAGGGAUUUUGAUCUUCUUCUUUUGGCUGAAAAAAUAGAGAAGUCUUUCUGUAAGACCUGCCUUCAUUAAUUUUCUAUCAACUUCUCUGUAAUAGUUGAAAAUUUUGACUUUUCAAAGCCAGGUAUUCACGUGGGGUUGUUUAGAAAAGAUCUGUUGAUUUUGUCAAUCUUUUAGGGUAGAGAUUAAAUAGCGUAAAAAGGCUGGGCUAGUCUCUUUUUCUUAGUAGAUAAAAAGCCCAAAUAUUUUGUCUCACUGCCCUUUUCUGGAAAAUAAAUGGGCUGGGUGUGUUGGAAAUUGGCCCAAUCUUAAGAAAGACUCUGGUGGCUGCCCAAAAUUGACAUAGGCUUUUCUUGAUUUUGGGCUGGGCAUGCCAAAUUAGGCCCAAACAAUGCCCCUUAAGUCUGAAUUGUUUUUGGAAUAGUUUCAGACUUAAUGAUUUGGCCAUUAAUUUGUGCGCGCCAUUUCCUUCUGUUAGCCCACAUCUGCCACGUCUGCCUAUUAUGAUCAAGACUUCGUGGGAAAGUGGGCAGUUACUAGCUAGUUAUUAUCAGGUGGCGUCUUGUCUUCUUCUUCCCACGAUUUCGAGUCUUUCUAAGAAAUUUAAAAAGACCUCAGCUCCUGUUUACUCAAAACCUAACUUCUUCAGACCUUGAUUUUCCUCAGUUUUCUCAGAAUUUUUACCCUUUUCUGCGAUCAAACCCUGCUUCCUUUCAGUUUGAUUCCCCUAUCCUAGCUCAAAACCCGAAAAUGUCUUCUCCAAAAAAUCGUGCCCAGACUUCUUCUUAUUCUGUUCCUCCUACCUACAUUACUGGGGCCGGUGUUGAUAAGCAUGUGAUUGAAGUCCGGAGCAAGCUUCAUCCUUUUGCCCAGAACGUUCUGGACAAGAACGUGUUACAUUUGUUCGAGAACACUCUUGUUUUGGAGCCUCAUCGGUUUGGUUCUGUCCCGACUGAAAUGGCAGAAUUGUUUAAAGAAUAUACUGAAGCUCCUCUAUGCUUUCAGAGCUCUUUCGUAGAUUUCAGUUUUAUAUAUAAACUAUCGUGUUUCUCCCUAUAACAUGUCGUUUUUAAGAAUUGUUGUCAAUGUUUUAUUUCCUGCUACUAUAAGACGGCGAUUAUUUAUACAUAUGAGACGUGUAAAUUAGAAUGAGACGUCAGUCUUUGGGAUUUAAAUUAAGUUUUUACGAUUUAAUGUCAUUUUAGUUCAUAUAAGGACAUAAAUGUCCUAACCAAAAAUAUAUUUAUGUACAUUGUCAAUAAAUUAAAAUAAACCUAAACAUUGUUAAAAUAAAUUAGAUCACUUAUUAUUCUGUAAUUACUUGUUAACGAAUUCAGCCCAUUCCAACCUGACUUCGUCAAUAUGUUCUUAUACAUACUGAACUGGUUCCUUUUUCUUAUCAAACUGCAAAUAAAUAACAAAAACCAACGUGUUAUAAAGAUUACAACGACUGCUUUUAAAGAAAAAGUUGUGGUACUAAAAUAAAGAAUUUAUAUCUUAAGUUUUGCCUUUUACCUUCUUCUCAAAUGCUAGGCCUGGAUCAUGAAUUAUAUCUCUCAUGAAAUGCAUCACGUAAUAGCCACACUCUACAUUUGUUGGUUGUCGAGGAGUGCCAUGUAGAUUUUUCCAUAUGACUGAUUUACAUGAUGAUUAAUUGCCUGUGUGAGAGUUAUACAUUUUGAUUGAACUGUUUCAAGAAAAUGAAAAGUGUUAAUGAUAAAAAUAAAAAUCUAAAGCAAAAAUAUUAAACGUCGUGGUAAAUAAGUGAAGACGAUGGUUUUGUUAAAAAAGUGAUGUUGUAUUUCAUUUCAAACGUUGGUAAAUAAAAACCGUCGUUGUGUAGAAUUCUAACGUCGGUGACGAUGAAAAAUGACGUAUAACCAAAAAUUGUUUGUAAAUGAAAGUUGAACAGAAAAAAAUAAAACUUCCUUAAAUGAAAAACACAAACGACGUGGUAUUUCAAUUAAAAUGACGGUUUACAGAAAAUACUGACGUUGUAAAUGAUUUCAAACAUCGGUUUGAAGUUACCAUCGUGUUUUCAUUGUAACGUCGGUAUUAGAAAAAGCCGUAUAUCAUUCAAAUGCAAAUAAAAAAAUGUUAGAUUUUCAUAGAUAAACUUACAUAUUCACUAUAUUUCUCAUGUCCUCGUCAACAACGCGGUUUGGCAAUGAAUCCAUGUAAUAGAUAGUCUCCUUCGCUGGUCUCACAAUUAUUAACACCCAAUGACCCCUACACAUAAUGAUCCAUAUAGGUUAAAUAUACUAGAAAGAAAAAUAGGCAUCAAGUAUAGUUAAGGGGACUAACCUUGGAUUACAAGGCACCAUGUAAAAUUGAUCCCCAUUUGCGUUUUUCAGGCGGUCUGAGAGAUGUUUCAAACGGUAAGAUAACGUUCCAGAUUGAGAGCUGACUUGUCCAAGGUCCACGAAGCCAAUAAGGUUUACCAUAUUUUCUAUUUUUAAAUAGUCAAAUAGGCACCUAAAUAUAUGAAAUUCAAUUAAAUGAGAUUUUAACUUUAAAGAAAGGAAAUGUAUAAUGCAAUCACUGUGGAUCCAAUCUCAACCAUGGAAGGAAAUUGUAAAAUAUCUUCACACAAGAGGAAGGUAUCAUGGUUAAUGCCAAAGGCUUCCUCUGGAAUGUGAAUUCUAAUGGUCUCGUUAAUGGGCUUCAACUUGGUCUCGACAAAUUGAAAUAAGGCUAACAGAGGAGGUGGCAUGUCUAGCUUUGAGAGAUCCUGUUACAACAAAUAAAUAAAGAAAUAUAAGUUAGUUUGUACACUAAGUAAAAUAAACGACUCUAACUAAACCAAUCAAACCGACGUGGUAUAUAAUAUAAUCGACAGUUUCUAGAACAUACUGAAGGAGUAAAGGUUAUAGACGACGGUAAAGACAUAACCAUCGUUAUGUAAAUGUUCUAACGUCGCUGCAUUAUGGAAAGGUCGUCUAAUUAAAAUGCAGUGAAGCCUUUAUUGAAAUACACGACAGUUUAUAAAAUAAACACCGACGUAGUAAAAUACUGAGACGACGGUUAUCAGCAACGUCUAUUUGAAAUUAUAAAUCAGAAAAAAUCAAAUAUCAAAGAUUUUACCGUUUCAUCUUGCCAUUGUUUAGCAACAUCAGCAUCAUUCGUGGGAUUUUCUUCCUCCAAAACAAGGGGUCUCACAUUAGAGCAGCUUGCUUUGUCAGACAUUAGAUUUUUUGGAGUAAUUGGAGUUUUAUUGAGCAAGUUGGGAUCACAGUUGGGAAUUAGUUGACUGAAUUGUUUCAAUAAAAUUUCCCUCUCUGCUCUGACUGCCUCCAAAACAGUUUCUUUUGCCUUAGCUUUAAUCUUUUUGGUUUCUUCUCUCACUGCCUCCAUAACACUUUCCUUCAAUUUGUUAGCAAAUUUUACUCUCUGCUGUCUCGACAAAUUGAAGAAUUGAGUUGGGGAAACCCCAGCUCCAACACCUCUAACUCUCCCACCAUGCUCAGGGGUUCCCAAAGCCAAGGUCAAAAUAUCGUUGCUCUCAGAGACAGCAGAGUGCCCUCGGAAACUUGUUUUUUCAAAUCAUCCUAAAAGUGAGAGAGAGAGAGAGAGAAUGUUAGUGAGUGAACAGAUAGUAAAACAGAUUAAAUAAACAACUAUACAAAAAUAUUAACCGACGUGGUAAAGACUUUAAAAAACUGAAAUCAAUCCCCAAUAGUAACAGGGACCAUGCAGCAACGAUUUGGUUGACAGUAGUAUAGGUUGGAGAUGCUGUUGAUCAUUAGAUACUAUUUUUUUAAAUAUCAAUUCUGUAACAUCCAGACCUAAAAAAUUAAUGAUUUUGAUUUAAAAUUAAAUUUAAAUAAGCAAUUACGAAUUUACCCUUGGGGAAGGGGUAUUUUGGUAUUUUUUUUUUAUUCAGAAAGAGUUUGGGGCAGUGACUAGUAUUUUUGGGUAGAUCGUACUGAGACGAAUCCGUAGACACGCGGUAGGCCUGAAUCGGAGUUGUAACGAAGAAACGGUGACCAAAAUUAGUCCAGUGGCAAACUUGUAAAUAUUUUGAACUUGGGUGUAGAAAAAUCUGAAACUGGCUUCCUCUCUCCUGCGUGCACACGUCCUUCUCUCUCUCUCCUCUCUCUCUCCUCGAUACCAUCACUCUCUGUCUCUCUCUUCGAUUCUCUCAAUUCUGGCCACGGCAAGGGCCGGGACUGGUUCCGAUCAACUCCUCACAAAGCCCCGAACCAGAACCACCACUUUUCUUGGCCGGAAAGCUCGAGUUUCGCGUGGUAAUCUCGACUGGUUUGAACCAGUUUUCCUCCGUCAUUGUGCCGCCGCCAUCGCAGCCCAAUCUCGGUUAAACAAGUGAGGUUUCUUACUCUUUUUCCGAGCUCUAGCUGCCUGUUGGGUAGGAUUGGAUUGAUUUUUUGUCUAGGAUCCCGAUUUUGAAACCUAAGUUUUGACGAAUUUCAAAGUGAAAUUCCGGCCGGUUGCCGUCCUAAUUAGACCUCCCCGUAGUUGAAUAAAGUGAUCCUCGCUUCGAGUAGUAGCUAAGGUAGGAAUGGUGAAUUGCGGUGUGGAGUUUUUCCAUCACUGAAAAUUACUCUACACAUCCACGCGUUGCCAGGGCAUGUGGAGGCGCAUGGGCAAUGUGGUGAGACCACAUUUUAUCCUGAUGUAGUCUCCUAGUCCUCACGUGCGCGUAAGUGUGCUCGAAUUUCAAUUCGAAUGUUGUUUGACUAUCGAACGGAUUUAUGCAUAUUGUUUCUUAUCCGGGUUCAAUAUGUUCGGACCAUUGGAUCGAGUCCAAAUUUACGUAUGUUAAUCUAGGCACCCCUAGGAUCAUGUGCGAAUUCGCGGAUCGUGAAUCGGAGCCCCGAAUGUUCCGAUUCAAUAAUUUGAAGUUUAUGGUUUGCGAUAACCGUCAAUUUCUGACCAAACCUACAGGACGUGUUUCCUAAACCCGUAGUCGGACCUUAGAAUACUCGUUAUGCGUGCACGCACCGGGAACUUGAGAAAAUUAGUAUUUAAUUUGUAAAUUCCGUUUUGAAGUGAUUUUUUAUUAAUUAAGGGUGCGUAUCUCGAAAUAGGUGCUCCAUCACUAGCACGCAGCAGGUAGGACCCUCUUGAGGUCAGGCAGUGUGGGACUACUUGUGAGUGGACAUUUAUUUUAUAUAUGCAUUAUUUUCAAUGAUUGAAAGAAUAUGCAUGAAAUAUAUAUAUUUUUUGGAAUAAAGAUUGAGAAAUUCAUAUGUUGUUAUAUCAGUAUUAUUUAAUUUAGAAUUUGGUUUGAUUUGAUGAUGAGUUAUAUAAAGGUCAAGUUAUUCGUGAUUAAGUCUUGGAUGAAUUUUGGGGGAAUCGGGAAUUGAAUAUUAUGGUUUAUGGUGGGAACUUAUAUGAUUACACUGUGUGGAGUACCAUCCCCUAGUUACUAGGCUUCCCACAUGUGGCGUUGGAAAUUUUCCAGCGUGUGAUGAUGUAGUCUGCACGCAUAGGACUUAGUAUUGGAGCUACACGUGGCGUUGGAAUUUCCGGCAUGUAAGCUAUGGAGUUUCGUCCCCCGGUUGGACCGCUCAUCCCUAGACGCAGGAUAGCAACUGAAAAUCUUGCGGGUUAGCCAAACAAUCCCCCGGUUGGAUUGUUUCCCCGGUACCUAAGUAGUGUGAUAAAUAUUAUGUAUAUUUAUAGAUAUAUAUAUUUCUAUGUGUGUGUGUGUGUGUGUGUGUGUGUGUGUGUGAGUAUAAAUCAGUUAAAGUAUAUGUAGUGGUUGGGUAAGAGCAGUAUAAAUUUUGGGGAUAAAGUUUAUGGAUAGAGUGAUUGAUCUCAAAGGGUUUCGGAGAAUGAUGUUUUUGAUCAUUAAAUAAAAGUUAUGAAUCUGCAUGUCUUGAGCAUUAUUUUUAGACGGUGGGGUUAUUAUGUUGUUUUGAAUGCAAAUUUUGUUUUUCCACUCACAUGUUUUCUGUUUUGCGCCCCCCAAACAGUAGUCGCUCAAGGGAGAGUUGCAAGCCAUGUUCGAGGCCCCGAACUGUGAACAUCAGUAGAUUAGGUUUCGAGUAAUUUCUUUCUACUCAACUGGAUGUUCUUGUAAACUAAAUUCGUUAGAUGCUCUAUUAUUGCCCCUGUUAGGUUUUACUUGUGAGGCCAGAGGCCAUUUAGUUUAUACUGUUGAAUAAUAAAUGCAUGCUGCUGGUUGGGAUUAUAUUGUGCUUAUGCAGGUUGAAAUUUUUGGGAUUGUUCAAUUUACAUGGGAGACUCUAGCAAAAUUUUAGUAGAGAGUCUCGGUUUUUAAUAAGUGGGCCAGGCAUCGGGGUAAUGUCGGAAAUAAGACUGGAUUCGUCCCGGUUUCCGAAGAAUUCGAGGCGGGUCCUGUCAAGUUCCUCCUAUUAACAAUAAUAAAUUAAAUAUUUAUAUAACUGAUAACAGUUCCUCAUAUUAACAAUAAUAAAUUAGUAUUUUGUAUAAUAAACAUGUUUAAUGAAAUUCAUCUUCUUCUAGCAUGUUUAUUUAAAUUCUAAGUUUUCUGAAGAAAAAAAAAAAAAAAAAGGAGAAGGAAAUGUCCUAAAUUAAAUCUUAAAAGUUCAUUUUUUUCUGUCCCUAUAUAUUUUUUACCCAAUUAUAAUUUGAGAAAAAAAGGUGAAUUAACUGUCAUUUCACCUUCAUCAUUUUCAUGAUUUAUAUAAGAUUCUUCAAAGAUCAUUUCCACAAAAAAUUACUUAAAUUCGAAUCCAUUUAACCGUCUAAUUAAAUCGUUAGGACCGUUGAAAUAAAAUUUAAAGUGAGUUUAAAGUGAGUCCUACUAUGUCUCCCUCAAAUAAGAUCAUUUACAGGAUCUGUCGAGUCAUAUGAGAAUGUUUAGCUUUUCGAUCCCAAGAGUUUGGUUCGAUUUUCAUAUAUAUAUAUAUAUAUAUAUAUAUAUAUACAAGUCAAUUUACUUUAAAAAGUUCACCAAAUUUUAUUUUUGGUCUCGGUAGUUUGCUUGAGGGCCUUUUUCUGUCAAUCUAUUUGUUGUGAUUGAAAGAUUUUAUAUAAAACAAAAGAUAUGUUUUUAUCUUAAAAAAUGCUUAUUUUCAGAUCUUUACAUAUAGACAUACAUAUGGCCUGAGAAUUCAAGCAAUAAAGACAUAAGCUGAUGAGCAUUCAUAAUCAUUAGAAUGAGUACUGAAUGGUCAACUCUUUCAAAAUACUUCGGAAAAAAACAAAGGACAAUACUUCCUUCCUUACUCAUAAGAAGGAACUCCUUCUCACCUUCUAUUGUCCCUCAACCACAAAGUAACAAGUGUUCUCUUUUUUUAAUUGUCAAUUUUUUUUUUUUCACUUUUACUGAACCCCUAGCUUUUUACCAAAGCAAAAAACACAAAACAAUAUUCCCAUUGUUUUUUUUUUUCAUUUUGAUUUUUUUCUCAACUUUUUGAAAAAUAACAUUUUUCCUUCUUCAGUAAAAAAUUGAAGUCUUUGUGGUUAAAAGCUAAGGUUUCAGUAAAGGUUUAAAAUAAAUAAAAAGUUUUGACAAUUCAAAAAACAGAACACAUAUCACUUUGUGGUUGAGCCGCAAUAGAAAGUAAGAAAGAAUUCCACCUUACCCAUAAGGAGGGAAGUAUUGUCAAAAAGAAAACAUCUUAAAAAACACACAGAAAACCCACCAUCACUACUUAAAAGAAGUAGAGAAGUCCAACAUUCUGAUUUUUAUACACCUACGUGACGUGAGCAUUCAAUAAUCAUCCUACACAUAUGUUGAUGUGAGCAUUCAAAAUCAUUAGAAUGAUUUAAUUGAAGACUCAACGUACGGACGUCUUUUUCACUUAGAUUCCCUUCCUGUACAAACUUGAAUCAGUUCCUCCACGACCCCAUCAAUCUCUUCAUCCUCUUUCUUGUUCACGUUGUCGCUUAUUUUCAAUGCCUUUUUUCUCACUCCCUCUCCAAAUUUCUCCACAACCACAUCUCUAAUCACCUUUGCGACCUCUUCUCUUUGCAAACUUCCUUCACCUGUUCUCUUAACCUCCACACCAACACCCACCUCCUCCACUAGUCUAGCGUUGAUCGGCUGGUCAAGAUGCAUAGGCAUGGCUAUAAUUGGAACACCAAACUUGAUGCUCUCCAACACUGAGUUCCAUCCGCAGUGACUCACAAACCCCCCAACACUAGAAUGCUGCAGUAUCUUUGCCUGUGGGGCCCAACCCUCCAUUAUCACUCCCUUCUCUCCCACCCUCUGUAAAAACCCUUCUGGUAACACCUCUUCAACCCUAGUACUUCUCUCCUCCUUAGAAAAUCUUAUAACCCAAAUGAAGCUCACUUUGCUAAGCUCUAAUCCGUGAGCUAUCUCUUCUAUUUGCUCCUUGGACAGAAAGUACUCACUGCCAAAGCAAACAUACACAACAGAAGACCUUUCCAUUUUGUUCAGCCAUUUCAUGAUCCAUGUUUCCUCAUCAACUUUUUGAUCCAUUGGCUCUUGAACAAGCGUGCCAACAGGCACGAUCUUCUUCCCCGUUAAAUCAGAGAGAUAAUCAAUAUAUUUUUCUUCAAUCUCGCUGGAUGUCUUGACCAAAAUGAUGUUACAAGAUCGAGCACUGCAUUGCUGAACACGGUCUCCGUCUUUGAUGCCAUUUGCUGAAGAUUCCAACAAAUUGUUGAACUUUUCAGCUUCGUAAUGUUGAAGAUAAAUCGAAGGAAAAGGAAACUUGACACUAGGGUUCUUGAGAUGUUGAAUACUAAAUGAAGUAAAGGCAGCACCCAUGGUGGUGAAUUCAAUGGAUGGAAAAUUUUGCAAUGAAGCUAGAGAGGGCGCCCAUGGUUGAAGAACAUCAUAUAUGAGCAAAUCUGGACUUAGGGUUUUGAGGAUGUUGGAGAAGUUGUUGCUGGACAUGCUGAAAGCCGUUUUGAGAGUGGACAUGAGAUGGGGAGGGAGGCCAUUGGUGGUGUGGUAGUGCGGUGGGAGUUCAGGCAAGUCAUCAUGUGGAAGAUGGAGUUCCACAAAUUCAAUGCAAUGAGAAUAUUUUUGGGAGAGUUUAGGCUUGAUGGAGCUGAGAUUUACAGGCGUGGAACAAAUAAAGAUGUGAAAAUUUCUCUUGGUGGUCAGCUUCUUGGCUAGCUCUAGGUAGGGAGAUAUAUGGCCGUGAGCUAGCCAUGGAAGCAAAAGAAUAGUAAGGCUUCUUUGGUCAGAGAAAACCAUAUUUUGUUUUCCUUUGACUUGUUUUCCUUUGACUCUUUUGCUUGAGGUUGCUCGAUUAUAGGCUUAUUGGUAGUUUGUUUGUGGCUAGCUCUAUGCAUAUAUAUAUAUAUAUAUAUAUAUAUAUAUAUAUAUAUAUACACACACAAAAACGCGUGAUGAUUGGAACAUGCACACGUAAGUUCCAGAGAGUGAUGAUUGGCCUAUGAUAAAGACUCGAAACAAGAAUAGUUUAAAUUUUCUUCUUUGUUUGGCUUGAUAUAAGACGAAUGCACCAAACAAACCGACUAAAUGCCGACACAAUAAUUAGGUACGUAAUAAUAUCAACUUUCAUUAUAUAGAUCUGAGAAACAAAAAGUUGAACUUUGAUGACAAGCGAUAUUAAGGAAGGGCACAAUCGAACUUAGGAUCUCGAAUGUUGAAGUACAUGCUCUUAACAACUUGAGCUAUAAGGUAUUUGUAAUGACAAUUUAUGGUUUUAAUUAUACUUUUGAAUAGUUGCUUCCUUCUCUUUCAUUUUUAUUUUUAUUUGUUUAUAUUUAACUCUAAUUUUAUUUAUAUUUCUGGUCAAGGUAUAAAGACUUUGAAUCUCUCUCCAAUUAUUUUUCACAGCCGAAACUCCUUUAGUUUCCACAAAUCUUUUUAAACAUUUCAGGCAUAUGUAUGUUUCCGAGUCGGAUGGUUCACGUAACCAAGAAAUUUAAACUUGUUUUUGUUUGUUCCUCCGAAGAAAGCACAACAAAAGGACAACCUACAACCAAUACUUCUCAUUGAAUUUGUUGCCGUGAAUGAUUAGGACUCUGCCCAAACUAGUAGUUGCGUUUCUGAAUUGUUUGAAAACACAUAUCAAAUUAUGAUUUCUCCUCCCCGAAAGAAAAAUUGACGUAGAAGUAUCAUGAUCUUGAUGACACAAAUUAGAAUCUAGGGUUUUCGAAGUGCCUAAUGGACAACUACUUAUUUAGAAAUAUAUAUAUUUUUGUGGCUAAAAUUUAAAUUUAUUAUAUAUAUUCUCAAUGCAGAAACACAUAAAUCUAAGUUCGAAUUCAUCCUUUUUUUGUUUUUUUUUUUUUGUUUUUUUAACCCAGAAGAAAAAUUGAGUCCCACUCUGCUGUGUAGAAUGCGCGUUUAGUAUAGAUUUUUUUAUUUUUGAGUCUCUUAUCUGGUUCCCGAGCUUCUACAUUUAGGUCUCGUGUAUUUAUCUGCAUUUUCUUAAAUCUAAAUCACUCAAACAAUCUAACCACUUAACAAAUGACACGUACUCAAACUUAAAAUCAGAAUGGAUGGAGUAGAGGCUUACACCGAUGAUUCUUGGUCAAGACUUGAGAGACAGAUGGAGACGAGGCAUGACAUAAAGUCUGAAGAAGAGAAACGAGGAAGCUUCAUUUAGAUGGUGGUGUAAGUGCAUACGUAAAGUCCAGAUUCAACAGGAAAGCAUCUUAAACGUAAAGAAAAUAAGUUUACCAGAAGCAAAAGAGAUACUGAAGUAAUUGUUUAUCAACUGAACUUAAACGAAAUAUUAACUCUUUGUUGUGCCAUAAGCACAAGAUCUUAUGAAAAAAAAUUCAAGAUAAACCAUAUAAUAUUGGGAGAUUCACGUUUAUACCGAAUAUAGGAAUUCAAAUUAUAAAAUAAAUAAAUAAAUAAAAUAAUCGAUAUGAAAUGGACUUUAGAAACACACACAAAGCCUAUUUACAACAUAACAAAAAGGUUUUUCCCUUCUUUUAAAUUACAAAACUGCCAUUGAUUUCUUAAAACAAACCCAACUCCAAAACCUCAUUAAAAAAGCACAAAACACUCAAUAGGGUGUCAAAGUAAUUUAAUAAUAAAAAAUAAAUUCAAUAAGGCCAAUUGAAUUUUUUGGAUUUUUUUUUGGGUUUGUUUAUAGAAAUUAAUGGUGUAGGGUUUAUCUAUAUUAUUGGUGUUAAGAAUGAAUAAUGACUAAAUAUCUCUAUAAUAUUUUCUAACUCACAAAAUAAUAUAGAAAAUAAAUGCAAGAACAAGAAAAUAGCAAUAUGCAAUUUAACGAAGCUGCUUACAAUCAGUGCAAAUGAGCAAACAAAUUCGCUAUUAAUUUAUGAAGUGUUUUUGUAUUUACAAUACCGCCUCUUGAAUGUCCACCAUACAAUAAUAUAGUUGCAUCAUUAAAAACUUUACUUGAAAAAUCGUUUGGGACAAAACUUAAGCUAAGAGAAAAAGAGUGCAACACAAAUGAUAUUGACAUCACAUAUGUCUCUCCUACAGAGUGAGCUUUGGUGAUGCUUGUAUAAAAAUUGCUUUCACAUCAUUAUUGGGAGAUGUAUGUAUGUCAUCAAUCAUUUGAAUCUUGUUGAGGUUAAAGUAAAACCAAAAAAAUAUCAAGGGCCAUUUUCAUAUAGUUUUUCACAAUAAAAAUUAACAAAAUAACUUCAUGUUCUUUAAUAUCAUCAAAAAAAUAAUAUAAACAAACUCAUAGUUUACCUUUUCAAUGAUAAGUGUUUGGAAAAUUUACAUGGAAUAAUAUUUGGUAUGCUAUGCUAGCAUCUCAUAAGCUCUUCAAGAGACCUAAAUUUUAUGAUAACUUCUUAAAAAAAUUUGAAUACUUUUCAACAAUAUUAAACUUGAAUUCAAACUCAUAAUUCAAUCAAAGUACUCAUUGAGGCAAUUUAGAUCAUUUUCAUUUUAAGAAAAUUGGGUGCAUACAUUGAGCUUCAUGCCCUUUACCUUCUUAGAGAUUUUCUUCGAGCAAUUUAUAUUGCAUGACAGAUUAUAUCUCUUAGAAUUUGUUCUUAUGUAUUCUUCAAGAGAUCUCUUCUUGCAAUAUGCUUCAAACACUUCAUAAUCUUUAUAGAUUUUUCAUGUAGAUUUAAGGUCUCCAUGAAUAUUGAGAUUGAAACAAGGAGUAAAAUAAAAGUUUAAGAAAAAUUUUCCCUGAUUAUUUUGUAAUUAUAAUGUUGGUGAAAACCUAAUUUCCUUUCUGAAAUUUGUGAAAUUUGUUAUUUGGCUAAGCUAAAAGUAUAAUAUUGACAAUAAAACGUAUACGAAAGUUUCUCUUUGGCUGGCUUCUUGGCUGGCUCUAGGAAGGGACAUUGCGGCCAUGAGAUAACCAUAGGAAGCAUAAUAAGAAUGCUUGGAUGCUCUGAACAAUCCAUUUUCUGACUCUUUUUCUUGAGGCGGUUGUUUUCUUAGGCCCAUCAGAGUUUAUGGUCGACAGAUAAGCUUCAAACACAUGCAUUGGUCGUGUCAGUUGCGAUAAACUCUUCCCAACAAUCUGAGACUCACAUCACUCCAAACACAUAAAAAGAAGUGGAAAUUUGCUAUUCUUUGUCUUUGUUUGGACAGCUAAUAGCAAAGCAUUGGAAACAUCGAAAAAAGAAAGUUAAUUAAUUUAAGAAAAACAAAGAAAUCCUUCUUUUUUUUUCUUUUUUUUUUCAGCAAACCGAAACAUAAAAUCCGAAAAAGAAGAAGGCAUGUCCAAAAUUACAUCUUGAAUUUAUUUUGGAGAUUCACUAUUAUACUCAAAUUAUAUAUGAAAUAAAUUUUAGAAACACACAUGACGCCAAUUUACAAUAUAACAAAAAAACUUUUAACUUCUUGUAAAUUACAAAAUUGUUAUCGAUUUCUUAAAACAAGCCUAAUCCUAAAACCUCAUAAAAAAAAAAUCAAAACACUCAAUAAGGCAUCAAAGUAAUUUAAUAAUUAAAAUUAAAUUUAAUAGGGUCAUCUGUCAUUUUUUGGAUUUUUUUCGAAGUUGUUUAUAAAAAUUAAAAUAAUGUAUAGUUUGUUUAUAAAAAUUAAAUGAUGUAGAGUUUCUUUAUAUAAUUAAUGUUAAUAAUGAGUAUAUGAAUAAAUGUCACUUUUCUUUAUUAACCAUUUAUAAUAUAUGAACUCAAGACUUCCUAUCGAACACCGAAUGGUCUUUCCAUUCCUUGUUAAUUCAAAGUCUGAAAAUGUUCGGUGUCAGCUCAUGAAUUUAAAGGCUUAAAGGCUCAAAACUUGAACGAAUAUGAAAGAAAAAAGUCGUUCACCGUUCAUCCUCUUCCUGCAGCUGUGCAUGCUAAUCACCCACUGAAUUAAACAUACAAAUACGCUUUAUGUUUUCUCAAAUUGUUCUUUGAACUAAGUAGAGGUUGGAAUACACUCGGGGUCAACAUUGUUCAAAUACAAAACACUUCUUAAUUUUAUAUUUUAUCAAAACAGAUCGAAACUUCAUUCAAACUGAGAACCUAGAUUACAAAACUACCAGAAAAACUGGAAUCUGCACUGUGGCCUCAUUAAAACCUUGCUUUAAAAAACUCCUAAAAGAGGAGAAUUCAGUCAAGAAAAAAGAGUACCACAGCAAGUGAAAUCCGAUAUCAUACUUCAUUCCUUUCUCAUACAAAGUUGAAUCAACUGCUCUACCACCCCAUCUAUCUCUUCAUCCUCUCUCUUUUUCAUGUUGUCUCUCAAUUCCAUUGCCUUUCUUUUCAAACCCUGUCCAUUUUCUUCCACCACCACAUCUCUGAUUACUUUUGCUAUCUCGUCCCUUUUCAGCCUCCCGUUCUCGUUGCCGCCUCCUCCCAUUCUCUUAACCUCCACACCAACUCCAACGUCCUCUACUAUUCUAGCGUUAAUAGGCUGGUCAAGAUGCAUAGGCAUGGCUACAAUUGGAACGCCAAACUUGAUGCUCUCCAACACUGAGCUCCAUCCACAGUGGCUCACAAACCCACCAGCACUAGAAUGCUUCAAUACUUUUGCCUGUGGAGCCCAACCAUCCACUAUUAUUCCCUUCUCCCCCACCCUCUCAAAAAACCCUUCUGGUAAUACCUCUUCAACCCUAGUACCUUUCUCUUCCUUAGGAAAUCUUAUAACCCAAAUAAAACUCACUUUGCUAAUCUCUAGCCCAUGAGCUAUCUCUUCUAUUUCCUCCUUGGAUAAAAAGUACUCACUGCCGAAGGAAACAUACACCACCGAAGAUCUUUCUCUAGUGUUUAGCCACUUCAUGAUUUUUGUUUCCUCCGAAUCCACUUCUUGCUCUAUAAGGUCUUGAACAAGUGAACCAACAGGCACAAUCUUCUUCCCAAUUAGAUCAGAGAGAUAAUCAAUAUAUUUUGCUUCAAUCUCUCUAGAACUCUUAACUAAUACGAUCUUACAAGAACGAUCGCUGCACUGCUUAGCACGGUCUCCAUCACUGAUGCCAUUUGAUGAAGAUUCUAACAACAUCUUGAUCUUACUAGUCUCGUAAUAGAUUGAAGGAAACGGAAAUUUGACACCAGGUUUCUCGCCAUGGUGGGUACAAACUGACAUCAUGGCAGCACUGGUUGUGAAGAACUCGAUGGCUGGAAUGUUUUGUAACAAAGCUAGAGAGGGUGCCCAUGGUUGAAGAAAAUCAUAAAUUAGCAAAUCCGGGUGUAGGGUUUUGAGGAUGUUGGAGAAGUUAGGGCUUGCCCUGUCGAAGGCGGUUUUGAGAGUGGACAUGAGGUGGGGUGGGAGGCCAUUGGUAGUGUGGUAAUGAGGUGGGAGUUCAGGCAAGUCGUCAUAUGGAAGAUGUAGUUGCACGAGUUCAAUGCAACGAGAGUAUUUUUCAGAGAGUUGUGGCUUGAUGGAUCUGAGAUUUACAGGUGUGGAACAAAAAUAGAUGUGAAAAUUUCUGUUGGUCAGCUUCUUUGCUAGCUCUAGGUAGGGAGAUAUGUGUCCAUGAGCUAACCAUGGAAACAUAAGAACACUGAAUUUUCUUUGCUGAGAAGAAUCCAUUUUUUCAGACUCUCUCCAUUCAGGUCGUUUGUUUUAUAGAUCUAAUAAGUGAGAUGAAAAGAUGACAAAAUAUAUACAGAUGAGUCAUGUGAAUCUAGGUUUUUUCUUCGUAGUCAGAAGAGUCGUGCGUAAGUGCAUGCGUGUAUACAAGACAAAAGACAUACGUUAGACUUCUUUAUCUUCGUUCGUGCUGAUAUAUAUUAAGAAACAGACCCUUGCAACUCUAAUAUCCUAGACAAAAAUUCAAUUUUAAAAACUGAUGCUAUGUCCUGUGUUUUCCUAAACAAUCCCUAUUUUCUGUAGUCUUUCAAUUAUUCUAAAUUUGCUCAACAUUCAAUAUAACAUCAAUUUCUUAUAAAUCCCUGAACUUUCUCUAGCAUUCAAAAUUUUAAAACAUUCUCAAAGUAAUUCGGCUUCAAAGGAAUGGUAAACUUAGUAAUGGCUUCUUUUCCCCUUUCACGAUGCAGUGGCUGAGAGUUCUGAGAACGGAAGUUGUAGUUGGGUGACUUUGAUUCUUUUUAGCUGAUGCCUACUGCUUGAAUGAAAUGGAGCAAAGAGGUCAUCAGUACUUACACUGCUACUAGGAGGGUAAGCUUGAUUAUGUGUAUACUAUAACUUUAGAGUUUUGGUAUUUGGAAUGAUGAUAAUUUCAAUGUUACAUUUAUUUUGUUUACUACACUAUGUUUCUUUGUUGAACUCAAAUGUCAUGCUGAUAAAAAGAAAUAUAUUGUUGUAUGAAAUUGAAUCAAUAAGGAAAUUGACUGAGAUUUAAAAAUAAAAUUACACAGACACAGCAUGCAAUAUUAAUGCAAUAUUAAAUCUGUGUUAAAUAAUGUAGGACAGAUAGAUUAGCUGAUCGAGGAGCAGCUGGAUAAGCCCGUGCAUGUCGUUGUGCCAGAAAAGCCCAAUUCGUGCAAGUAUGGGCCCUGAACUCUUAAUUAGGCUAUGAUCUGUCAUUUUGAAGAGAACGGCGUGACAAGUGCAACUCACUGCUGUAUUGUGACAUACGGAC